UACGUAGGGGGCAAGCGUUGUCCGGAAUCAUUGGGCGUAAAGCGCGCGUAGGCGGCCCGGUAAGUCCGUUGUGAAAGUCAAAGGCUCAACCUUUGAACGCCGAUGGAUACUGCCGGGCUAGAGUCCGGAAGAGGCGAGUGGAAUUCCUGGUGUAGCGGUGGAAUGCGCAGAUAUCAGGAGGAACACCGAUGGCGAAGGCAGAUCUCUGGGCCGUGAACUGACGCUGAGGAGCGAA
rnacentral:rRNA from 1 species